UUGUGUGUUAGUGGAAGCGUCUGGAAAGUCGCAGGGUACAGGGUGAUACUCCCGUACACAAAAACACACAUGCUGUGAGCUCGAUGAGUAAGGCGGGACACGUGGUAUCCUGUCUGAAUAUGGGGGGACCAUCCUCCAAGGCUAAAUACUCCUGACUGACCGAUAGUGAACCAGUACCGUGAGGGAAAGGCGAAAAGAACCCCGGCGAGGGGAGUGAAACAGAACCUGAAACCGUGUACGUACAAGCAGUGGGAGCCUUCUUUAUGGGGGUGACUGCGUACCUUUUGUAUAAUGGGUCAGCGACUUAUAUUCUGUAGCAAGGUUAACCGUAUAGGGGAGCCGCAGGGAAACCGAGUCUUAACUGGGCGUUAAGU
rnacentral:rRNA from 1 species